AGUAACAUGUGGGUAUCUGCCCUUUGGCCUGGAAUAACACGAGGAAACUUGUGCUAAUACCGGAUAAGUCUUUACGGAGAAAGCUUUAUGCACCAUUGGAUGAGCCCGCACUUGAUUAGUUUGUUGGUGGGGUAAUGGCCUACCAAGACUGUGAUCAAUAGCUGAUUUGAGAGGAUGAUCAGCCACAUUGGGACUGAGACACGGCCCAAACUCCUACGGGAGGCAGCAGUGGGGAAUCUUGCACAAUGGAGGAAACUCUGAUGCAGCGAUGCCGCGUGAGUGAAGAAGGCCCUUGGGUUGUAAAGCUCUUUCGUCG
rnacentral:rRNA from 1 species